UUGGAGGGACUGGGCCCAGCCUUGCUUGGACAGGAUCCUUGCUGUGGUUCCUCAGGAGAACCUCCAUCCUUCUCUGAACUCCAUUACCAGCAUGCUUCUGCUUAGGCAGAGCUAACAGCAAGGAUGCCUGAGAGGCAGGCAUUUUGAAUCCUGUGGCAGCCGGGGCUCCCAGUCCAGUCUGUCUGCUCUGAACUUAACUCCAGGGCCCUGCCGACAGCUGGCAACAUUCCUGUGGCUUCUCUUAAGUAGGCGUUUGUGUCCCAAACUCCUGGAAGUCAGACUGGACUCCUAGAUUUGGGGAGGAAGUCUGUACCUCCUGCAUCCUGGAAGGGGCUGCAACCAUCUCUUAGCUUCUGGGAGCUAAAAGGCAGGUUGGGAGUCAAAAGAGCAGUGUACACUAACAAACUCUUUCCAGGCUGAACCUGGGAGAGACAGACAGGGAGACCUUCCAGGGAGAGGGGAAAGACCUAGGACAGCUGACAGAAUUCUCAGUGGCCAUGAGGUUAGCCAAGAGAUGACAAAUGCCAAAGUGCUCCCCAGUAACAGAUAGGGAAGAGAUGGUCCUUUAGGUGACUGAUAAAGUCCCUAAAACUGCACAACCUGGAGCCAAAUGUGGACAGUUUAGAGCUGUCUCCAGCAAAGCUUCUUGUCCCUUUAGCCCAGUCCCUUUGGGACCCUCUCCUCUGUGCUGGGGAGGAGGUAGCCUGCCUGUGUAGAGCUGCUGGAGGAGAUUGCUUUGUGGAGCAUGCAUGUGGAGGUCAGAGGGCAGUCGCCGUCCAUAUUUAAGAGAGGAACCUUUUCAAUGCUGUUUGCUGCGGUGUGUGCCAGGCUGGGUGGCCUUUGAGCUUCUUCACCUCCUAGCUGGCUGUAGAAGCACAGGGAGGCAACCUCUCAGCUUUGGAUGAGUUCUAGAUCCUGAGUUGGGUUUGUUUUGAGACAGGCUUCACACUAUAGCCCAGGUGGCCUGAAAUUUGCUAUAUAUAUAUAGUCCAGGAUGGCCCCGAACGCUAGGCAGUCCUCCUGCCUCAGCUUCCCAAGUGCUGGAAUUACAGCCAUGUACCACCACGGUUGGCCUCACAGGACCUUUUUGCAAUGGAGGACUGGGCCAGAAGUCACUGUGGAGUUGUCCAGUUUUGGCCCAGCUCUCUGCCCGAGAUCUAAGCCAGAUGGUAGUCAUGGACAGGGACCUGGGUAGAUGUGGCCAGUAGGCAGUACAUAGUAAGCAGCCCUGACUAGGACAGACUUGAGGGCCUUGAACAAGACUCUGCUAGCACUCCAUACCUCCCAGCUCCCCUCCUCCACCCCCCAGCAGACUCUUCUCAGCCUUGGCUAUGGCCAAAAGUUUAUUUCUCCCAUCAAAUGAAAGUCGCAGAACUACAAGUGUGUUAGUUUGUCUUUGCUUUCAUGGCGGUUGGCACAAGAUGAUGUUUGGUGAGGGGACAGGGGAGGACUGAUAGUGUGUGUGAACACACAGUGGGUCUUGUGUGAGCAACUGGCUGGAGCCAUGUCACAGUUGUGUGAUGUCCCAGUGUUGGCUUUUACUCUGCCAGCUGGGUAGUACCAAAACCUGCCCUGGCUGGUGGAAGAGGGAUCCGAUUGAUUCUGUCCCAGAAGCAUCCUGUAUUUAGGCUGCUCAGAUAGGGAAGUGCAGCUCAUCCAUAGCUGGCAGGUUCUCAAAUCCCUCAAGGAUGACAAGACUUGUAAGGAGGGAGGUGUCAGGAGAAGACAGCCCUAGCAUAGCCAGCUGUGUACAGGACCUUAGGAUCCCAAGACAUGUCAAACCAAGAAGAGAGGCUCCAUGGGGCCAGUGAAGCUGUGAACACUUUCCAGAAGCCAAUCUGCAACCCUGCUCAAGUUAGCCUUAGGGUAAGGGGUUUUGUUCACUUGGCUGACAGUCAGGGCUGUGGCUAGCAGAACCUUUCCAGGGGCCUGCAGGUGCUCCUUUUGGGGACCUGCAAUCAGUGGGCUAUAUUAAGCCAAGAAUCUCAGUUGGCAGAGUUCAGAAGGGCUAAGGUGGAGCCUCCCUGGAGCAGAGCCUUUAUUGCAGAGAUACAGAAAGAGUACCUACAACAGGAGUCAUGAAAAGUCAUGUUUGUUAUUUC
rnacentral:lncRNA from 1 species